rnacentral:rRNA from 1 species
UACGUAGGGGGCAAGCGUUGUCCGGAUUUAUUGGGCGUAAAGAGCGUGUAGGCGGCUAGGUAGGUCAGUUGUGAAAACUCGAGGCUCAACCUCGAGACGCCGAUGGAAACCAUCUAGCUAGAGUCCGGAAGAGGAGAGUGGAAUUCCUGGUGUAGCGGUGAAAUGCGCAGAUAUCAGGAAGAACACCCGUGGCUAAGGCGGCUCUCUAGUACGGUACUGACGCUGAGACGCGAAAGCGUGGGGAGCAAACAGG